AUUGUAAUGAUUACAAGGAUUUUACGCGGAGCAAGAAACCACUGACUGCGGAUGAGCAGGUUGUUUUCCGGGACUUUUAGAGAAAAUGUACAGAAAUUAACUGGA
rnacentral:ribozyme from 1 species